CUCAGUUCGGAUUGUAGGCUGCAACUCGCCUACAUGAAGCUGGAAUCGCUAGUAAUCGCGGAUCAGCAUGCCGCGGUGAAUACGUUCCCGGGCCUUGUACACACCGCCCGUCACACCACGAGAGUUUGUAACACCCGAAGUCGGUGAGGUAACCUUUUGGAGCCAGCCGCCUAAGGUGGGACAGAUGAUUGGGGUGAAGUCGUAACAAGGUAGCCGUAUCGGAAGGUGCGGUUGGAUCAC
rnacentral:rRNA from 1 species